rnacentral:rRNA from 1 species
GAUGAACGCUAGCGGCAGGCUUAAUACAUGCAAGUCGUGGGGCAGCGCAGUGUAGCAAUACAUGGGCGGCGACCGGCAAACGGGUGCGUAACACGUACGCAACCUUCCCGUUACUGGGGAAUAGCCCAGGGAAACUUGGAUUAAUACCCCAUAUUAUAUUGAUUGGGCAUAUAAUUAAUAUCACAGCUUCGGCGGUAACGGAUGGGCGUGCGGUUGAUUAGGUAGUUGGCGGGGUAACGGCCCACCAAGCCUACGAUCAAUAGCUGAUGUGAGAGCAGGAUAAGCCACACGGGCACUGAGACACGGGCCCGACUCCUACGGGAGGCAGCAGUAAGGAAUAUUGGGCAAUGGACGAAAGUCUGACCCAGCCAUGCCGCGUGGAGGAUGAAGGUCCUCUGGAUUGUAAACUUCUUUUUUCUGAGGCGAAAACCGGUUUUUCUAAACCAUUUGACAGUACCAGAAGAAUAAGCACCGGCUAACUCCGUGCCAGCCGCCGCCGUAAAAC